rnacentral:rRNA from 1 species
GAUGAACGCUAGCGGCAGGCUUAACACAUGCAAGUCGAGGGGCAUCGAGAGUAGCAAUACUUGUCGGCGACCGGCGCAAGGGUGCGUAACACGUGAGCAACAUACCCGUUUCAGGAGGAUAACCGGAGGAAACUCUGCCUAAUACUCCAUGACAUCAUCAAACGGCAUCGUUUGAUGAUUAAAGAUUUAUCGGAAACGGCUUGGCUCGCGGGACAUUAGCUCGUUGGUGAGGUAACGGCUCACCAAGGCGACGAUGUCUAGGGGUUCUGAGAGGAAGGUCCCCCACACUGGAACUGAGACACGGUCCAGACUCCUACGGGAGGCAGCAGUGAGGAAUAUUGGACAAUGGUCGGAAGACUGAUCCAGCCAUGCCGCGUGAAGGUUACUGUCCUAUGGAUAUUAAACUUCUUUUGUAUGAGAGCAAUAAGGUGCACGUGUGCACCGAUGAGAGUAUCAUACGAAUAAGCACGUCGACUACGUCG